rnacentral:rRNA from 1 species
UACGUAGGGGGCAAGCGUUGUCCGGAAUCAUUGGGCGUAAAGAGCGUGUAGGCGGCUCGAUAAGUCUGCUGUGAAAGUCCAGGGCUCAACCCUGGAAGGCCGGUGGAAACUGUCGGGCUAGAGUCCGGAAGAGGCGAGUGGAAUUCCCGGUGUAGCGGUGAAAUGCGCAGAUAUCGGGAGGAACACCGGUGGCGAAGGCGGUUCUCUGGGCCUGACCUGACGCUGAGGAGCGAAAGCGUGGGGAGUAAACAGG